rnacentral:rRNA from 1 species
AUUGAACGCUGGCGGCAGGCCUAACACAUGCAAGUCGAACGAGUGGCGGACGGGUGAGUAAUGUCUGGGAAACUGCACGAUGGAGGGGGAUAACUACUGGAAACGGUAGCUAAUACCGCAUACCAUCGGAUGUGCCCAGAUGGGAUUAGCUAGUAGGUGGGGUAAAGGCUCAACUAGGCGACGAUCCCUAGCUGGGCUGAGAGGAUGACCAGCCAAACGGGAACUGCGACACGGUCCAGACUCCUACGGGAGGCAGCAGUGGGGAAUAUUGCACAAUGGGCGCAAGCCUGAUGCAGCCAUGCCGCGUGUAUGAAGAAGGCCUGCGGUUUGUAAAGUACUUUCAUCGGGGAGGCGUUACUCGCAGAAGAAGCACCGGCUAACUCCGUGCCAGCAGCCGCGGUAAUAC